CUACGGGCGGCUGCAGUGAGGAAUAUUGCACAAUGGGGGGAACCCUGAUGCAGCAACGCCGCGUGGAGGAUGACGCAUUUCGGUGUGUAAACUCCUUUUAUAUGUCAAGAAAAUGACGGUAGCAUAUGAAUAAGCGCCGGCUAACUCCGUGCCAGCAGCCGCGGUAAUACGGAGGGUGCAAGCGUUACUCGGAAUCACUGGGCGUAAAGGACGCGUAGGCGGGUUGGAAAGUCAGGUGUGAAAUCCUGCAGCUUAACUGUAGAACUGCACUUGAAACUUCUAAUCUAGAGUAUGGGAGGGGGAGAUGGAAUUAGUGGUGUAGGGGUAAAAUCCGUAGAUAUCACUAGGAAUACCUAAAGCGAAGGCGAUCUCCUGGAACAUUACUGACGCUAAGGCGUGAAAGCGUGGGGAGCAAACAGGAUUAGAUACCUGGUAGUC
rnacentral:rRNA from 1 species